rnacentral:rRNA from 1 species
UACGGGGGGAGCAAGGCGUUGUUCGGAUUUACUGGGCGUAAAGGGUGCGUAGGCGGCGCGGUAAGUCGGGUGUGAAAUCUUGGAGCUUAACUCCGAAACUGCAUUCGAUACUGCCGUGCUUGAGGACUGGAGAGGAGACUGGAAUUUACGGUGUAGCGGUGAAAUGCGUAGAUAUCGUAAGGAAGACCAGUGGCGAAGGCGGGUCUCUGGACAGUUCCUGACGCUGAGGCACGAAGGCCAGGGGAGCAAACGGG